CAAAAUAGGUACUUAAGAAAAUGUUAACUUAAGAGUUUAAUACUUUCCUCAAAGGAUAUCCAGGGGAAAAAACGGCGAGGAUGGUGUUGGGUGGCCUGCAACUCUACUGGAGCAGUUUCAAAUAACCUACUUCAAGACAAGGAGGAAUCCUGAUUUGCUGCACAGUGCCUGCCCCUUGGACUACGAGUUCCCUGAGGGCAGGGGCAUCUUUGGCCUUCCUGAGCGCCAGUCUGACCCGUCAUGACCCCAGAAAGGCUAAAGGGGCAGAGCAGCGUCCCGGGACUCGGGCAGAGGCGGGUAGUCUCCCCCAAGGAGGACACUUCCUGCCCGGCUGCAGGGAGGGAAGGCCCUUUAAUCAAUCGUCUCUCUCUGUGUGCUCUGGGUGCAGCACCGGACUAGGUGGGGCUCGCCCAGCCGCCUUCCUCCUACCACUUCCCGAAACAAAUGUAUUCUGCAAAUCAGUGACCCUGGCUUCCUUGGUGUUCUUCACAAGAUACACUAUCUCCUAAUUCUUCAGGAUUGCUCUCCAGGAAUUUCAGGAAUUCACCUUGGAAUAUCUUUCUACAAGGUGUGACAUCCCAUCUCAGCCCCAACCCCAUGAGUUUCUCCUGGAGCUUCCUAUAUACCUGGGGUGUUAUAAAAAUUUCCCUGACAAAAAGGGAUUGCGAAUUGGAAAAAUAUGAAGAAGCCCUGGCUCAGACCCCUGAGAAUUUAAGUGAUUUGUCCAGAAUUACAAUCUAAUUACUAUACUACAUUCCAUUUUAAUAAAUAGAUUUUCCUGUAUACAAUAUUGUACAUUAUAGAUUUAACUAUUGGAAAUCAGUGUAACCAUUUCAGAUAAUGAACUGUUACAUAUAUAAACUUUAAAACCUAAAUAAUUAAAAAAAAUUAAGCACAUUGUGAACCUUUUGCACUGAACUGUGUCAGAAUUCCAAAGCUUAUAGGCCUCUGGAGGAUCUGGGAUCCAAUUUCUUUUUUUUUUUUUUUUUUAAAUAAAGAAAAUAGAUUUUUCCAUCCCA